UGGGGAAUAUUGCACAAUGGGGGAAACCCUGAUGCAGCGACGCCGCGUGAAGGAAGAAGUAUCUCGGUAUGUAAACUUCUAUCAGCAGGGAAGAAAAUGACGGUACCUGACUAAGAAGCCCCGGCUAACUACGUGCCAGCAGCCGCGGUAAUACGUAGGGGGCAAGCGUUAUCCGGAUUUACUGGGUGUAAAGGGAGCGCAGGCGGUCUUGCAAGUCUGAUGUGAAAGCCCGCGGCUCAACUGCGGGACUGCAUUGGAAACUGUGGGACUUGAGUGUCGGAGGGGCAAGUGGAAUUCCUAGUGUAGCGGUGAAAUGCGUAGAUAUUAGGAGGAACACCAGUGGCGAAGGCGGCUUACUGGACGGUAACUGACGUUGAGGCUCGAAAGCGUGGGGAGCAAACAGGAUUAGAUACC
rnacentral:rRNA from 1 species